GGAGAGGUGACCGAGAGGCCGAAGGUGCACGACUGGAAAUCGUGUGUACGGCGACGUACCGUGGGUUCGAAUCCCACCCUCUCCGCCA
rnacentral:tRNA from 1 species